rnacentral:tRNA from 1 species
UGGCUCAGAUGGUAAAAGCGUCUGCCUACAAUGCAGGAGAUCCAGGUUCGAUCCCUGG